AUUUCAUGUAAAUUAUACACUUUCGUUUAAUAUUUACUUUAUAGAAAUGGUUUAGCGUCGUCAGAAAAAGCCCGUUAGCAUCUCAAAGGUAAGGCUAAAUACAAGAGGUAACGAUAGACAUGAGCUCUUGUUUAUUAAGCUUGGGCUUUUAAUGUCAUCUUGUGUGUAGAUGAGCUCGCUCUCUCUCUCUCUCUCUCUCUGUCUCUCUCUCUCUCUCCAUAUAUAUCAAUGGAUGAAUGGAAGUAACUUAACCGAAUUAAUUUAACCCUAAAUGUAUCCACUGUUUAAUCCUAAAAUGUGCACUAACGUAACCGGAUAACGUUACAUCACUUACAUAGAGCGUGAAAAUGGACUGAAACCUUCAGGUUUUGAUCUUUCAUGGUAAACACAUAAAUACAAACUUGUUCUGUGAUUUCAGAAGUGCCAGAAAAAAACCUCUAUGACGCAGGAGAAGUUCCUGAUUUUAACAUUUCUGAAGAGCUGCUGACAGAGAGGAUGAAAACACACACAUUUUGAUGUCCACGCUGUAGGAGCAUUACUAAAUAAUGCUUAUGUUCCUAGGUUCUUCCAUGCUGAUGGCUGUGCUCUAGAGUCAUAUCUCCUGUCGAAGAACAUUUUUAGACAUUAUGAACCAUGAAUAAGUUUAGCUCCAACCCCAGUUAAGCAGACCUGAGCAGCUGAUCAAGGAUCAGCAGAAACUCUGCAGAACAUUGGUCCUUCAGCCCAGGACUGGACACCAGUGUUAGUGUCUGUCUCAGAAGCUGAAGAAAAAAGGUCACACCUUAUAGGAAAUAAACGCCCCCUAAGUGUACGGAAAUACCUGGAUGAGGAGAUCAGUGAAAUAAACCAGAUAAAACUGUCAGUGGUCUGAGACAGCUACAAGCCACAAAAACAGUUCAUAGUUCCUGCAUUUCUAUAAUGCAUUAAUGAAUAACAAUAAUUAAAAUAAAAUGUAAUGUCAAGGUUUUGUGUUAAUUCCAGCUAUGUUGAGUAUUCUGUGAAUAAUUUUGAUUUUAGGUGCAUAUUCUUAAUUCUUUGCAAAACAACCUGAACUGUUUGCUAUUGAAAGGUUGGUAUGAAGUUUAAAUAAAUAAAAACAUUAUAUUCUUGA